ACAUACGACCACAGCCGCCUGAGAAAUCUGGAUCCCGUCCGAUCUCCGCUAGAUAACCAUGCGAGCGCUGGAUUAGUAGUUGGGUCGGUGACGACCAGCGAAUACCCGGUGUUGUAUGUU
rnacentral:rRNA from 1 species